rnacentral:lncRNA from 1 species
GGUGCCUUGCUUAUGCUGUCGUCCCUAUUCCUCAAAGGGACAAGCUGAAGCCUAGAGCCCUCUCUUGUGUUUUUCUGGGUUACCCCUUUGCCAAAAAGGGUUAUAAACUCUAUGAUCUGGUUUCCAAGAAGUUUUUUGUCUCCAGGGAUGUUGUCUUCCAUGAAACUUGUUUUCCUUUUAAGAAAAAACCUUCUUCUGCUCACCCUUCUCCUUCAUCUUUUCCUUCCAUUCCUCCUGCUGAACAUUUCCCUGACACAGAUUUUCCUAUCCAUGCUUCAUCCCCUCCAUCUGAUUCUCCUGUUCCUGCCUUUACUGAUUUUUCCUCUUGGGUUUCCCUGACACGGAUUUUCCUAUCCAUGCUUCAUCCCUUCCAUCUGAUUCUCUUGUUCCUGCCUUUACUGAUGCUGCUCCAUCUUCCCUUCCUUCUUUCAAUCUUGAUAUUUCUCCCCUUGUUUUACCUCCUUCACACUCCAUUCCUGCUCCUAGAAAGUCCACUAGACAGCAUAAUCCUCCUUCUUAUCUUAAGGAUUAUGUCUGCCAACUCCCUGCCUUUUCUGGUUCUUCUUCUUCUACUUUAGAAUCUGAACUUUUGUAUUACUCUCAAGCUGCAUCUGUCCCAGUAUGGCAGGCAGCCAUGAGACAGGAGUUUGAUGCUUUGGAAGCUAACCAUACUUGGGAUGUUGU